rnacentral:tRNA from 1 species
GGUGAGAUGGGUGAGUGGCUGAAACCACCUCCCUGCUAAGGAGGCAUAUCCAAUUACGGGUAUCGAGGGUUCGAAUCCCUCUCUCACCGCCA